rnacentral:rRNA from 1 species
AUUGAACGCUGGCUGCAGGCCUAACACAUGCAAGUCGAACGUGAGGCGGACGGGUGAGUAAUGUCUGGGAAACUGCCCGAUGGAGGGGGCUAACUACUGGAAACUGUAGCUACUCCCGCUUAGCCUCGGAUGUGCCCAGAGGGGAUUAGCUCGUAGGUGGGGUAACGGCUCACCUAGGCGACGAUCCCUAGCUGGUCUGAGAGGAGGACAAGCCAAACGGGAACUGCGACACGGGCCAGACUCCUACGGGAGGCAGCAGUGGGGAAUAUUGCACAAUGGGCGCAAGCCUGAUGCAGCCGUGCCGCGUGUAUGAAGAAGGCCUUCGGGUUGUAAAGUACGUUCAGCGAGGAGGCGUUACUCGCAGAAGAAGCACCGGCUAACUCCGUGCCAGCAGCCGCGGUAAUAC